rnacentral:rRNA from 1 species
UGUUACCGACUUUCAUGACUUGACGGGCGGUGUGUACAAGGCCCGGGAACGUAUUCACCGCAGCGUUGCUGAUCUGCGAUUACUAGCGACUCCGACUUCAUGAGGUCGAGUUGCAGACCUCAAUCCGAACUGAGACCGGCUUUUUGGGAUUCGCUCCACCUUACGGUAUCGCAGCCCUUUGUACCGGCCAUUGUAGCAUGCGUGAAGCCCAAGACAUAAGGGGCAUGAUGAUUUGACGUCAUCCCCACCUUCCUCCGAGUUGACCCCGGCAGUCUCCUAUGAGUCCCCGCCAUAACGCGCUGGCAACAUAGAACGAGGGUUGCGCUCGUUGCGGGACUUAACCCAACAUCUCACGACACGAGCUGACGACAACCAUGCACCACCUGUACACCGACCACAAGGGGGCAACCAUCUCUGGCCGUUUCCGGUGUAUGUCAAGCCUUGGUAAGGUUCUUCGCGUUGCAUCGAAUUAAUCCGCAUGCUCCGCCGCUUGUGCGGGCCCCCGUCAAUUCCUUUGAGUUUUAGCCUUGCGGCCGUACUCCCCAGGCGGGGCGCUUAAUGCGUUAGCUACGACACAGAAACCGUGGAAAGGUCCCUACAUCUAGCGCCCAACGUUUACGGCGUGGACUACCAGGGUAUCUAAUCCUGUUCGCUCCACCAACAGUCUUUCGCUCCUCAGCGUCAGUUACGGCCCAGAGAUCUGCCUUCGCCAUCGGUGUUCCUCCUGAUAUCUGCGCAUUCCACCGCUACACCAGGAAUUCCAAUCUCCCCUACCGCACUCUAGUCUGCCCGUACCCACUGCAAGCCCGAGGUUGAGCCUCGGGAUUUCACAGCAGACGCGACAAACCGCCUACGAGCUCUUUACGCCCAAUAAUUCCGAGACGAACGCUUGCACCCUACGUAUUACCGCGGCUGCUGGCACGUAGUUAGCCGGUGCUUUUUCUGCAGGUACCGUCACUUACGCUUCUUCCCUACUAAAAGAGGUUUACAACCCGAAGGCCGUCAUCCCUCACGCGGCGUUGCUGCAUCAGGCUUUCGCCCAUUGUGCAAUAUUCCCCACUGCUGCCUCCCGUAGGAGUCUGGGCCGUGUCUCAGUCCCAGUGUGGCCGGUCACCCUCUCAGGCCGGCUACCCGUCGUCGCCUUGGUGAGCCAUUACCUCACCAACAAGCUGAUAGGCCGCGAGUCCAUCCCCAACCAAAAAAUCUUUCCACCACCAGACCAUGCGGCCGGCAGUCAUAUCCAGUAUUAGACGUCGUUUCCAACGCUUAUCCCAGAGUCAGGGGCAGGUUACUCACGUGUUACUCACCCGUUCGCCACUAAUCCACCCAGCAAGCUGGGCAUCAUCGUUCGACUUGCAUGUGUUAAGCACGCCGCCAGCGUUCGUCCUGAGCCAG